GACGAACGCUGGCGGCGUGCCUAAUACAUGCAAGUAGAACGCAGUUGCGAACGGGUGAGUAACGCGUAGGUAACUGCCCCAUAGCGGGGGAUAACUAUUGGAAACGAUAGCUAAUACCGCAUACUGUGAGAUGGACCUGCGUUGUAUUAGCUAGGUGGUGAGGUAAAGGCUCACCAAGGCGACGAUACAUAGCCGGCCUGAGAGGGUGAACCGCCAACAUGGGACCUGGGCACGGGCCAGACUCCUGCGGGUGGCAGCAGGAGGGAAAUUUCGGCAAUGGGCGGAAGUCCGGCCGAGCACAGCCGCGUGGGUGAAGAAAGUUUUCGGGUCGUAAAACUCUGUUUUUAGAGGAGCGGUAACUAACCAGAAAGGGACGGCUAACUACGUGCCAGCAGCCGCGGUAAUAC
rnacentral:rRNA from 1 species